CGGGGUAGGAGUAACAUGUCGGAACGUACCGAGCAGUGGGGGAUAACUAAUCGAAAGAUUAGCUAAUACCGCAUAUCUUCUGAGGAAGAAAGCAGGGGACCUUUGGGCCUUGCGCUGUUUGAGCGGCCGAUAUCUGAUUAGCUGGUUGGUGGGGUAAAGGCCUACCAAGGCGACGAUCAGUAGCGGGUCUGAGAGGAUGAUCCGCCACACUGGGACUGAGACACGGCCCAG
rnacentral:rRNA from 1 species